rnacentral:rRNA from 1 species
GAUGAACGCUGGCUACAGGCUUAACACAUGCAAGUCGAGGGGAAACGGCAUUGAGUGCUUGCACUGAAUGGACGUCGACCGGCGCACGGGUGAGUAACGCGUAUCCAACCUUCCCGUUACUGCGGGAUAACCUGCCGAAAGGCAGACUAAUACCGCAUGUUCUUCGAUGACGGCAUCAGAUUCGAAGCAAAGAUCCGUCGGUAACGGAGGGGGAUGCGUCUGAUUAGCUAGUUGGCGGGGCGACGGCCCACCAAGGCGACGAUCAGUAGGGGUUCUGAGAGGAAGGUCCCCCACAUUGGAACCGAGGCCCCGUCCAAAACCCUACGGGAGGCAGCCGUUGGGGAUAUCGGUCAAUGGGCGGAAGCCUGAACCAGCCAAGUAGCGUGCAGGAUGACGGCCCUACGGGUUGUAAACUGCUUUUAUGCGGGGAUAAAGUGAGGGACGCGUCCCUUUUUGCAGGUACCGCAUGAAUAAGGACCGGCUAAUUCCGUG